UUAAUAAUUUUGGCUUGUCCAUCAUUAUCUAUUUACUGUGAACUGUAUUAUUGCAUGGCGCUUGAGAGAUGUCUGGACAUUAUAAUAGGUAGAUGUUCAGAAUGCUAAUCGAGCCAUGGUCAAGCUUAGGCUUGGUACCUUAUUAUUAUUUACCAAAAGAAUUCAGUAUUAAUAUUGUAACAUAGACCUAAAAAAUCUAUAAAACAACUUUUAACAACGGAUCUCUUGGUUCUCGCAUCGAUGAAGAACGUAGCAAAGUGCGAUAACUAGUGUGAAUUGCAUAUUCAGUGAAUCAUCGAGUCUUUGAACGCAUCUUGCGCCUUUUGGUAUUCCAAGAGGCACGCCUGUUUCAGUAUCAAAAACAACCCUCUUUCAAAACAUUUUGCUUUGAAAGGAUUAUGAGAGUAUUUCUUGCAAAGACUCUUUAAAUAUAUAAGGCCUGAAUUUGUUUACCUGCCUAAACUUUUUUUUAAUAUAAAGGAAAGCUUUUGCAAUUGAACUUGUAUUGGGGCCUCCCAAAUAAAUCAUUUUUAAAUUUGAUCUGAAAUCAGGUGGGAUUACCCGCUGAACUUAAGCAUAU
rnacentral:rRNA from 1 species